UUUCGGUCAAUAAAGGUGAUUUCUUUGGGCUGGAUUGAAAUUAGCGAAACGACUCUUCGAACUUUGCUACACACUUGUAACACUCUUCGAAACUUAAGCCUGAAGAAGUGCGGGAAAUUGGAAAGCUUUGACAUGGGUCUGGAAAAGCUCAGAUUGAAAAGGUGGAUGGACUUCUUAUAUCAACAUAAACCGAGAUGUCAUGGAAGAGGCAGAAAUUGAUUUCCCAUAUGAGUUUGAGCCUAAAUUCAAUGAAUAUGCCCAUGAACUCUACACCAUACUGAGCGAUUUCUACCAUGUCCGAGUUCUAACGGUGUGCAUUGUCUUACUUCAGCUUGGCACCUGUUAAUCACAAAUGAGACUCAAGCAAUGACCCGAGUUCAUAGACAUGUUGUGGCAAUUGCACCAAACCUUCAUGAUCAUCCAAGCUAUUCUCUUUCCAGUUUGGAUCAGAGAAAUCGAGACUCAAUUCUUUCACCCCACACUGUGUCGCGAAAGCGACACACCUUUCUAUGAUGUCAUGGCAACUCUCAGGGUGAGAAACUUGAGAAAGAACUUGUCCACAAAUUGGUUCGCAUUGUGUGAGAUUCAAUUAGUGAUAAAGUUGAGGAAACCCCUUCUGUGUGCUUCUUUGGAUUCAUCGAAUUCAUCGGGUUUCAAAAAGAAGAGUUUGUCGAACUCCACAUUAAUCUUCUUUGUCUUACGCCAUGUCUCAAACCACUGUUUGGAGAGGAUGGAAGUCCUUGCCACUUCUUUAUAGGGAAGCAAGGAAAUGAUGAUGAGAUGGAGAGAAUCUGGUCAGGCAGAGAACAUGUCCAAGUUGUUUUCCAUGGCUACGAUAGUUUUAUUGUAAAUAGUAUAAUGUGUAUGCUUUUUGUGAACGGAGGAUCAUGUUAAUUGAAAAGGUGUAACUUUUGGAGGAAAACGAAAGGCUUGUGUCGUCAAAGAUUUUUAAUCAAGUUGUAUCCCUUCAAAGAA